CCUUGACCAACAUGGUGGGGGAAGUGGACUGACAGGCCAAGGGAGCUGGACGUCAGUAUGGAUGAAGCUCUUUUCUCACAGCAGCUGUACAGUAAUGGUGGGUGCCAUCAUUUGAGCUAGUUGUCUGAGCUGACCCUUUAGAGAUGUCAUGCUGCAUAGCAGCUUCGAGUUAAAUAUGUGAGCUAUAGGGCAUUCAGGAGCUUCCACCAAAGGGAAUGUAUAAUUAGCCAAGAUGGAUAGAUAAUGCAUUGCUCUGUCUCCGGGGCUUGUGGUAGAGAUCAGUGGAAGGAAUUACUCAGGUGAAAUUACUUAGUGGGUGAGGAAAAACUGGUGGAGUGGAUGGAGCUAAUGGUAGGGUAUACCUAAUUACGACGACUCCCCAAACAUUGACUUAAUGUAUAAUUUUGUUGUCAUUCUUGCUAUUGUUUGGGAAUCACCAGGUAAGCCUCGCCUUGCUUUCUUCUCUCCAGAAGUCAAGGGCAGCAUUGUCCCCAGCGUACACUGCUGACCUGCUGUUGACAACCUGCCCUAAAAUGAGUCGUUAUCUAGUCACUUUUCUCAUUGUAUGGUUUAAGAAAGCAUGUCUGAUGCUUCCUUGCUCGGCUUACAUUUCAAUUCAUUCAAGGGAGGAGGGAAAUUCUCCACUCCCACACAUAAGAUCCACAAAGUGGCUUACAACAAGAUAAUAAAUCAGCAACAAUGUAAAAGCAUAUUAUUAUUACUACAAUGGGGGAAAUUGCAAGGACAUCAACAGAAUCUCUGUUCUGUCCUGAUUGUCCAAUGAAAGGUAUGGGUCAGGCGCCUGUAUUGCUCCUUUACUGACUACCUAGAGAGUAGAAGCUGGGUCAAAAUAGGUUUCUCAGAUAAAGUGUGCAUGUGUGCAUUUAUUCAUGAAAAUAACUUAAAAUGAUGCUUUACAUUAGGAAAAUUACUUUGCAAUGUUGAGUAUAUAAGGCAUAUGAAAUUGCACACAAAACCUCAAUUGAAAUUUGCAGUGAAAUGCUUUUGAAUUUUCAUGAGGACUUAAAAAAACCACACACUGACAUGGAAAUGUGAGAACUGUGCUUAAGACUGAAACAAUGACAAACAGAGAGAAACUAAAGUUGACAAAUUCACCCAUUUCUGCUUGGAGCCUGCUUAGUUUGUUCCAUGGGACCUGCUGACAGCUUAGUUGCCUUCUUACUCACACAGCCCCACCCAGCAUUUGCCCAGGUUUUUAGGGAGGCCUAAAGUAAACAGUGAUAUUUUAUUUUCAUUUCUGCUGCCUGUCUUAUUUGUGUCUGCUAUUAAUCUUAUGAAGCUGAAUGAUUUAUUUUGUAGUAGGGUUUUGUUUUGUUGUUUCUUUUCUUUUUCUUUUAAAAAAACAUUGUUAAUUGUGAUAUCUGAUAUUAUCUGCCUACCUGGCACUACCAAGCAAAAUACAAACUGCAACUACCGGGUGGAGGGUGGUGUUGGCACUGCAUGCCAACCCCAAAUAACAAGGUUGAAUUAAGGGGAUUGGGGGGGGCAGGAUCUCCCAUUCCCUGUCAUCGGUAUGUGAGACCUUCAGAGCGACCACUCAAGGAGCACAUUGCAGACUGCACUAACAGGAUGAUAAUAUGCCACAAAUUAGGAAGCUUUGUGUAAACCAGCACUUGUUUCAAGUAUUGGUUUAGUGCUCAGGGCAGAGGCAGGUUUUUCAGGCUUUGCUGUGUUUUGAAUCAAAUAAACGAUUUAAUUAGGUUAGCUAAGGAACGAGAUGGGGUAGUGGAUUUGGCAAGUGUGCUAAAGCCCUUGAGGGCAGGUGCUGAGUACCAUCACAUACUGUUCAUGCUGAUUUGAACUUAGGGCACCCAGCACCAUGCAGGCAGGAUCAGACCUAAGGCAAAUAAGGAGCUUUCUCUUGUAUAUGGUUAGCUGGUUUUAAAUUUGAUACCUUCUUCCAAUAUAGAUACAAUAAAAUGAAGUCCCCCUGCCCCUUGCACUACGUAAAUGAUAUCAACCUGGGUUUGCUAGUUUACAUCCAAUUGUGUGACACUGUAAAUGUGUCUUGAUAAGUAAGGUGAGGGGAUGCUCACAAAAUUUGCAGAUCACACCAAACUGGGAGGGAGGGACCUAAUGCUGCCGAAGACAGGGUUAGGAUUCAAUAUGACCUGAAACCCAACUGUCAUUCCAUUGUCUGGAGAGGACACUUCCUGGUUCGCAUGGAGAAGCCAUUUUCAAUGCAGCCCAGCAAUGGAAGCAUGCAGCUGUAUUGAGGCAGCACCGGGUAUUGAAAAUUUGCACCCCUAGGAGCUUUGUGUCUGAAGCAACUGCCUUUGUGCUCCCCAUGCUGGCGUGUUGCUACUGAUAGCCCUUGUGGAAAGAUAACUGCCCAGGUAGGAGAAGUGAUUGACAUUUUCCAAUGUUACACUAUUGAUUAUCGUCUUCCAAAGCAACUACUCUAUUCUGAACUUAAAAAUGGAAAGCGUAAUGCUGGUGGUCAACAAAAGAAGUUUAAAGACUGUUUCAAGGCAAAUCUUUAAAAAUGUAGUAUAAACACCAACAAUUGGGAAACAUUUGCCUGCAAGCGCUCCAAUUGGGGAACAGCCUUUACCAAAGGUGUCAUGGACUUUGAAGACACUCGAACUCAGGACGCAAGGGAGAAAUGUGCUAAGAGGAAGGCACGCUUGGCAAACCCUCACAGUGAUCAACUCCUGCCCGAAAACCAAUGUCUCCACUGUGGAAGGACGUGUGGAUCCAGAAUUGGCCUCCACAGUCACUUACGGACUCAUUGUUAAAACAGUGUUUAUGGAAGACCAUCUUACUCAGCUAUGAGUGAUUGCCAAAGAAGAUUGAUAGCCUUCUUCUCCUUGACUUUGUCCAACCUUCUUUUAAAGCCAUGCAAGUUGGUAGCCAUCACAGCCUCUGGUGGGAGACAGUUACCUAGUUUAACAUAGUUUAAAAUGGUUUCCCUCCACAUAGUGUUUGCCAUAUGGAAUCCACACAGGUAUCCUUGGAUUGGGGCCAGUGUGUUUAGACAUGGGGCCUCUAUAUACUGCCACUAUCACCGAGGACACUUUAAAAAGAGAUAAUAGAAAAUGUAUUCCUUGGUGCAUUAGUAUAAUUUGGGCUAUUCCACAGUGCAGCACUUUGUGCUUAUUAAGAAAUGACUUUCACCUGCCAUCCUGCCCUCUCCCCAUUCUCUUUGUGGUCUUUCUCUUAUUAAAGGGAAUUUAAUUUUUCCUUUCAUUAUCUUUAUUUUCUUCCAGAGGAUUAUAACGAUUAUAAAUUCUCCUCAAUGGGAUGAACCAGAGCUACAAGCAACGACUGAUUUCAAAUUAUUUCAUUUUUGUGAGGCGAGGAAUACACAUGUUUAAAAGCCUCACCCAAAAAAUGCAUUCUAAAUAAAGAUGGUCAGUGGUGUAUGAGACUCAAUACGGAUUUCUUUGAGGAGAUUAACAAGACUGAUAAUAAAAUAACAUUAAAGGGCAUAAAGCAUUGUAUAUUGAAAUGAAUAACAAAAGUCAAAAGCUUUGAGGGUAAUUAGUACUUAAUUAGAAAUAGAGAUGCUAUCAGCAUAAUAGUCACAAUUUUAUUCAUUAGGUUCUGCUACUUGACUCCACAUCACAGUGCCAUGGCUGGGCUUUUUGAAUAUGCAUUUACAGAACAUAGAUCACGGCUUACAGCAAGUGGUUAUUUGGAUAAAGCUAUGCUUGAGUUUUGUUUUCCAAAACAAGUUGGCUACCAGUCGCUGUUUAAUUGACUAUUGGGAGGAUCCAUGUACAUUCCUAUUAGUUGCUGUCACUGAGUAGAACGAGUUGUACAUGGAUUCACUGACAGCAGCUGUUGCUAGAUCUUUGGAAACCUGAUCUUGGCAGAUUCUUAUGAACCUGCCCCAGUGCUAAGAUCCUCAGGUGAGCACCUAACUCUUGUUCCCAUCAAUAUCAGAGGCGCAGCUGGUGGUGUGACGUGUGAGAUCCUUUUCUGUGGCUGCUCCCAUAUUGCCAAAUUCCCUCCCAAGAGAGGUUAGAUUGGCUCUCUCCUUGCUACCUUUCCACCAGCAGGCAAAGACCUUCCCAGUAUAAGCAGGCCUUUGAAAACUAAGGUUCAGGUGGUGCUGACCACUGCGCUGUUAUCACAACAAGUGACAUUUCAAUGCUGGUUCCAAAUGUCUUUUAUUGUAGUUUAUCUAUUGCUUUCAAUUCCAUUACUUUGUAUUUUAUAGGGAUGUUUUAAGUAUGUUGUAAGCCCCUCUUUGUGUGCCUCCUCCACGUGAGCUCCAGAGGGUGACAACACGGGAAUGGUGGCUAAGGUAGAAUGCUCUCUCCAGGGAAGUUCAUCCGGUGCCUUCAUUAUAUAAUUUUAGGUACCAGGUGAAAACAUUCCUCUUCAACCAAUCCUUUGGCUGAUUAAUUUUCUACAGCCUUUUAGAUGUGUCUAUGGGAAGGAGGGGUUGUUGUUUUGCUGUUUUGAUUUAAUUAUUUACUUGAUUCUAUCCUGUAUUUUUUAUUCUGUGAACCGCCCUGAAAUCUUAUGAUGAAGGGUGGUAUCUAAAUACAAUAAAUAAAUAAAUCCUCUUGGAUUAAUGGACAGAAUACAGCUUAGCCAUCCACCAGAUUUCAUGCUUCUCCAAAUAUUGCAAUGCAGUUUUCAAGCGCAUUUUGAGAGAAAAUGUGCAUUUAAAUAUGUAUUAAAAAUCCAUAUUUAAGGAUAUGCUGAGUAAUGUGGAAACAGAAGGGUAGAGAACCAUGUGACUGGAAGUAGACGGAUUAUGUCAUCCCUGACUUCUUCUCUGGAGUAUAUUUAUUUCAGAGAUAUUUAUCACACUCUUCAGAGCAGCUGACAAGUUUAAAUCAAAACUGCACUAAAUGUAAAAGGAAGAAUGAGAGAAUGAGUAUUUAAACAGGAAAGGGGUUACAAACAGUAGCAGCAGAGCGAUAAAAGUCCAGAUUACAAAAAUAGGAAACUCAGCAUUUUAAAGCAUCUGUGUGUGUGUGUUAGGGCCAUACAAGCAUCCUGAGGCAGAAAAUUCUGAAGUUGGGUGGCAGCACCAAGAGAGUCCUAGCCUGGUUCACAAGCUGGAAGGAUGUGAAGAAAGGCCGGAGUUAGUGAUCUCCAAGCAAGGCAGUUCACUGAAGGCAGGAAUGGGGAGCUGGAUGUUGUUGGACUCCAGCUCCAAUCACCCCCAACCAGCCUGGCCAAGUGACAGGGAUGAUAGGAGUUGUGAUAGCAGCAACAUCUGGAAACUCAACACUUCCCUGAUCUUGACCUAGGAGAAGUGGGACCUUAUGGUUUUCCUGUCCCAGGCCACUUAUGGUUUUAAGGGUUAAUGCUAGCAUCCUGAAUCAAGUACAGAAAUGUAUCAGAAGUCAAAGCAGCUAUUUAAAGAGGGAUGGGAUUUGAUUCAUAAGCCUGGUCCCAGUUAGAUGUUACAAUCCAAGCCCCAGUCAGAGACCACUGGGGCUUAAUGGGAGCAGCAAGGUCAUCCACAGCCCUGCUGCUCCCACAGACAGGAGUAGGAGGUGGGUGCAGCCAACUGACCGUGCCAGCCUGUCUCUGGUGUAGCAGUUGGGCUCAGAUUGGGCCCAAUGCCCGCAUGUGACCACAGUGAAGCCAGCUUGGGAUGCAGCAGCUCAUCCCCUCCCUGGCCCUAGAAAACACAGUUUCAAGUCUUUCUACGGGUUGCUGCGGGCAGAGAUUCUACCAGAAGAUUUCCAAACACUUGCUUGUUCCCCAUGUACAAUGGAGACCUUGAGGCCAGUGGAGACUAGCUGCACCAGGAAGUUGGACACCCCUGCCCAAUCCAACCCACCCACCCCCUUCAGCCUGCUCCAAAUGUUGUUUGGAUUUCCAUGUACAUUGCUGUAUUUUGUACUAAAUGUCAUUUCCAGGCCUGGAUAGCUCAGUUGGUUAGAGCAUGGUGCUGAUAAUGCCAAGGUUUCAGGUUUGAUAUGGGACAGUUGCAUAUUCCUGCAUUGCAGGGGGGUGGCAUCAAUUAUCCUCAGGGUCCCUUCCAACUUUAAGAUUCUAUUAUCCUUCAGCAGCAGCCUCAUGCAUAGCAUAUUGCAUGUGUCCUCCUUGUACAUCUGCAUGAAACUAGGCUUGGACUUGGUCAACUGAGCUCACCUAGGACUGUGUGUGCUGAGGCUCCAGAGUCCUCUUGGAAUGCAUGAGGGCAAUAUCAGCUACCAUAAUAGACAAGCAAGGUUCUCAAAUGGCCAGGUCUAAAAUAAAUACUAGAGUUCCUGUCCUGCUACUGCUGAGUUUGCCUGAUCAACAAAUAGAUGUAUUCUGCCUGCUGCAUUUCAGAAUCCAGCACGGGCAGCUUUGAACAGUGGGGAGAUGAAUUGAGUCUGGAUUUGAGUUCUUUUGCCCAUAGCCAUGCCCCAGUCUGUGCCCUUUCUGAAGCUUUGCCACCAAGUCCUGGCGAGGGGUGUGAAAAGGUGAAUACCGACAACAUAAUGCCUUGGAACAGCAUCAUUAUCCUUAAAUUGCAGAUGUGAACCAUCAAAGCACAUUAAGAAGCUGAAUGCAGUCCACCAGCCACAUACUGAAAUCCAUUGAUAAAUCUCUUUGGUUUCGCAGCCUAUCUGGCAGUGGAAACAGGAGAGCUUGGAAAGCAGUUGGCAUGCCACAAUACACAGCUGGCGGGUUGUGUUCAGCUUGGCAGGUCACAAGUUGUGCUGGCCUGCGAUAUGGGUACAUGGUGAAAAGCUGCCACUUGAUAAAUGGUCAUCCACAUUCACCCACAAUGCUCUGGGUUUUUGUUUCUGGGCUGGUGGUUCACUUUGAGGACAAGAGCAUCCCCGUUGGUUCCGUAAAGCUUCAUAUUGGUCCCAUCUGCAAUUUGAGGAUAAUGGCACUUAGCUCUAUCAAAAGAGGAUUACAGGAUUUAGUUCUGAAGCCCAAGAUCCUUGGAUGGAAUUUAAUCUGUACUCUGAAGCUGUGAGACUCAUUUUGGAUUCUGGUUUUGUUUCAUAUUCACCACUGGCCUUCUCCCAGCAGAUGGGAGUUGGACCUCUCCAUGUCAAAAGAAAAGGAGGCAAAGAAACAGUUGGCUUAACUCUGAGCUUAGCAUUGCUACAGGGUGGCUCCCCAAAGCCAUGCGAAAUGAGUGGUUUGACAUUGACUCUGAUCAAAAAGCAACAGGGUUAAUUUAAUUAUUCAUCUGCUUUGAAUAUCAAACGGGAAGAAUAUAAAUUCGCUCCACUCUUUAAGAAAAUGAAGCUGUCCAAAUCUCAAAAUGACAAGAUGAGAAGGCAAGAGAGAGGGGGGAACUCAGGAUUCAACUGGAUCUUGAGAAGAACUAAUUGUGUUCUGAGCCACGGACGAUCCAUUUUUCUCUAAGAUACUAACAUGAGCACUUGGCUCCUUGUAAUUGCAGUGUGCCCUUUUGAGUCAAAGGCAGCUCCCUUCUAUGAUACUUAACUGCUAGCUUCAAAAGAUUACAACUGUCCUUCCCGUAACCUAUAACCAACAAUUAAACCCUACAGAGAAGAUUUGCUCUUUCCCCUCAGGGGUUUCUAUCAGAAGUUUCGGCUGACAGAGCAGGUGGAAGUACACUGGACCUUGGAAAAGGGCUUAGCUGCUAGAAGAUCAUCACCCAUGCUGCAAAUUAAUAACAUUUAUAUCCAGUUUCUUUAAAAGGCAGAGAGCACCUUCCAGGAAAACCUUGUCAUUCUUUGCUGGAGCACUAAGGCUGUCCACACCUGCUUGUCUUCAAAAACGCAAGAGCUGGUACUCUCUGACUAUUCACUGGAAGUCAUCUAGAUAGCCUCCCACCUUGUUUUUGUAGGUAGGAGCCAUGGCCAGCCCUCUGACUAGACAAGGGUAACACUUUUGCUGCAGCAGAAGGAAAAGAGAUUGUUUCCACUGUGGCACCUCCUUGACAUGUAGGAAGCAAUCAGAAUGUUGAUCUAUCUAGUAUUUGUGGGAUAAACAGCCUCACAUAACCAACAUGCUUAAGUCUAUUUAAUUCAUGAAGAGGUUAAUACCAUAGAGUAAGCUGUCCUGCCAGGCUUAGCUAUGUCCACUUCCCUUACCUUAGGAGGAAAUGGUUCCUCUCCCAGUCUACCUGAGAAGCUCAAUGUAUGAAGGUGGUUGUUCCAGCUCAGACUGCAUUGUUCUCACAGACACUCUUGAGUUCCUUUACCAAUAAUCUAGAAACUGCCACCACUUUUUAACUAAGCCAAGUUUUAUUGCCUAUUAAACUUUCUGAAACACAAGAACCUGAACUUGGGAGAGUUUGUAAGUAAACCAUUUUUUAACUUACUAAACAUGAGAUCUUUUUCCUAAACUGGGGGACUAUAUCACUUGAACUAAAGUUAACUUACCAGUGUUAGGGAAUCCAGCCCACACUCUUCUUCCUGCAUGGUGAUCACCUCUGUAAAAUAAACAUAUAAUGUGAUGAAGGGUCCUUUGUGGAUUAUCAGGUCAAGAGUCAGAAUGGAAUACAUUUCAGGUCCAGCUCACAAAGCAGUUGUGCAUGAACUGAGCAGUUCAUCUUACAACAGUUGCUAUAGCUUUCUUGACAAAACAGAUUAAUGAUGAUGGACACUCAAGUUAACUCUUUUCACAAUUCCCAGCCCUUGAAAAUGUGCAAUCAAUUUUCUACCAUCAAUAGCAGCAACCUGUUGGGAGGGGUAUCAUGUAUUUUGCAAGCCAAGAGUUGAAACAACCUUAUUUAUGGGUGAGCUUACUUAGCAUCAGAGAUGCGCUAUUUCAAUCCCGAAGAGUUUCAUUUGACAUAUUUUGUUAAUGUUGAGUGCUUUGCCACAGGAGAUUGUCAAAACCUCACUGAUGCAAGGCAACUUCUUUUGCCUUUUUGAGAUGGAUGAGAAGUGGCAAAUUUACACAUCCUGGGGAUGAUGGGGAAUUGUAAGUUAGGAAGCACAGAAUGCAAUCCUUCACUCAUUAUUGCUAGGAAGAAUCUGAUGGGAUUUACGCAGGGCUGGAACAGAAGUUGUGUCCAGAAGUGGAAACAAAUAUCCAAAUAAAACUUUGGAUGGUGAGUUUCAUAACAAUUAAAGUUGGAAGGUGAUAUGUAAUGUUUGCCUUUGUUGCCUCAUUCAAUCUUGGAUUAGCUCUUGGGACUCUGGUUGGUCCAACUGGAUGUGGCUACAUCUUAUAUCUAGGGAUUGACAUUGGAGGAAAUUUGUUUUGUGAAUAAUCUUCUAAACCAAAAUAUGGAGAUGCUACAUCAUUGAACUUGGCCUAGGAGCCAUGCUGCAUAUAUUCUCUUAAGGGCUGUGUAAUUUAGUUAUACUGCUGAGACAACUACAGACCAGACCGGUCCAGCUCUUCUGCUGGACUCAUCACUCAGAUGGCGACUCUUGCAUUGAUGGCAUGGGACUGGAGACAGUGAAACUAUCCCGUGCGUCAGGAGUAGGAUGAGCCAGCGGGGCACAGAAUGGUGAGAUGACAAUCCCAGGAGGUGGUCCAGUGGGCUUUGGGGAGCCUCCACUAGGGGAGAAAGAAUCGGAGACUAGUAACAAGGAGAGGGAGAGGCGAGCACCCCUUGCUUCCCUGACCAUACCCUCCUCACAGCAUGGUUGUCCCAUCUUUCCACCACAACAUGGAGUGAGAAACACGGGCAGUUGAGGGGACAGCAACUAGUAAGGAGGAGAGAAUGCCUGAGAGAACUCCACUUUGAUAUUUAUGGGGAGAGAGGAGCGCAAGAGAUCAGUUCAACUUUCCUAAAGAAAGAGCACAGCUGGGCCAUCAGGGUAGUAAAAGACAGGAUUAGCAAAGCCCCUAUUGUGUAGCAAAGAAUAGAGGCUUAUCUAUGUGUAUUGGCUGAAGAGCCUCAGGGAGAUAAUGUACCAAAGCUUCCUCUCAAUAAAAGUGAAUGGGAAAACCUCAGUGAGUUGCAGCUCAAUACCUGAAGUGCAGAGCACUCUGUAUAUUUGGGACUCCAAAAGCCCAGACUUGGCAUCUGUUGUUUCUGAUGAUCCUAGGACACAGGAAGGCCACAAUCAGAAAUGGAACAGUACCUCUUGACAUUCCAUCUCUAUAACUCUUCUUUGGAAAUUCAGCCUAAACAUGCAAGGGCAAAAAGUGUGCUGGGGUCAGAGGCUCAUGCACUGGGCAUUGCCUACCCAAUAUUCCCACUGAUGCUAGCCCUGCACCCUCCACUCCUAACCUUUGCAUAUUUAGCUUGAAAAUUUGAUUGGUUCUCACUGCAUUUGGUUGAAUUCACUUAGAAACAACCUCUCCUGCCCAAAAUCAGGAACCCUGGAUUAUUAAAGUUUCCAGUCACAAGGAGGCUUCUAAGAGUGUUGUUAUUGUUUCAUAUAUUUAUGUACUACUUGAUACUGGAACAGUCUCUAAGGCCACAUUCACUAUGAUACCACUUUAAACAGUUAUGGCUUUCCCCAAAGGAACCUGGGAGCUUCAGUUUGUUAAGGGUACUGAGCGUUGUUAGGAAACCCCUAUUCCUCUCACGGAGGUACAAUUUCCAGCGUCGCCUUUGAGAGAGAUUGAUUGGUAAACCACUCUGGAAAUCACAGCUCUGACUGGGAAAGCACUUUAAAUGUAUGGUGUAAAUGUGGCCUAAGUGAAUAUUUACAGAAAAGUAAAUUAUCAUCUAUCUAUCUAUCUAUCUAUCUAUCUAUCUAUCAAUCAUCUAUCUAUCUAUCUAUCGUCUACUCAUACACUCACACAACCAAAUGAUGAAAUUAAAAAAACUAGAAUAUCACAUUAAACAAUUUUUAAAAAAAACUUUAAAGGGAAAAUAUAGCAGCACAUUUUGUGGGGGGGGGAGGGAAUCUAAUGAGUCAGGGAAAUGAUUCAGUAGCCUUCCCAAAAACUACCUCUAAAUUGGGUGAAAAAUUGGGGUGAAGUAUAGUCUGCUGACAUCUGGACCCCACCCCUAACAUGUCUACAUUUGGGGGCAGAGUUGCGUACAUAUCACAGAACCCCUUUCACACAUUCUGUGGUCUUGUGCACAGGCUGAACACCGAGAGAUGGCUUAUGAAAGACAUUCACCCUCCAUUUAGAAUUGUGUAUUUUUCACACUGUGCUUUAUAACAGGAUAUUCCAAGAAACAAGAAUCCUCGAAAAUAGUUUCAUUGGCUUUGGAAAAUAUUGAGUGGGUGAUGAACUUCAAAAGAAAUCAUUUGGUAGGAUUCAUCAAAUAAGUGAAGUGUUAUAAAAGUAAUUCUUGGAAAGUCACUUUCGAUGAGCACUAUCUAGUGUAGCAAAAGAAAGAAAUGCAGCAGGAAAUCAAUAGCUACACUUUCAUCUUCACCUCCAAUUGCUUUGCAGAACUGAACUUCCAGAUCGUGAUGCACAUUCCAGUGUGAGGGAUCGGAUCCAAUCAUUGUGCAUUCUGCAGGUUUCGGAUAAAGAUGAACUUUCCCAUUCAUCUUAGAAUUAACCUGUUCUAAGGUGCCAUAGGCCAUCACACCCAGCCCCCUGUUGUAUAAAGGAAAUCCAGAACUGUGAUAUCUUCAAAUAGAUGGCUGCUAGCUUCUCGAAGACCUCCAUUGAGAUACAUCAUCUCCCUCCCCAUGCCACACCAAGUAUUUGACACCAUUGUUGGAUGGCUCUUGUCAUCAAAAGGUUUCUCCAAAUGUUCCGGACAAAUCUGUAAUUAUAUUUUCUUGGCCUCUGGUUAGGAAUGGGUGAAUCUGCCAAUUUUGUUUUCUUUCUACUUCUUGUUUCUCAGUCUUAAAUUCAGUUCUUCACAUUUCCACAUCAGUUGGCAAUUUCCCCGCCAGCAUCUUAGUGAGAAUGUCUCCUACAAUACAUAUGUCUACAUGGAGUCUUCCACAAUAUUCACAUUUUUACCAACCAGUCCCACCAAAUAUUAGGCG
rnacentral:lncRNA from 1 species